GGCCUUUUUUCUAUGGAGCUGUGGGGGCGUCCCUUUUCUCCUCAUCCAGGUCCGGAGGCCAAGAUUGGCCCUUGAAGAUCAUUGUUGGGGCUGCCAUGUGCUGGGCAGCCUUGUUUUCCUGCCUCAGACAUUC